rnacentral:rRNA from 1 species
GACGGAAGGUGCAAGCGUUGCUCGGAAUCGCUGGGCGUAAAGGGUGCGUAGGCGGCUGUGCAAGUCUGGCGUGAAAGCCCCGGGCUCAGCCCGGGAAGUGCGCUCGAAACUGCACGGCUCGAGUGCCGGAGGGGAGAGUGGAAUUCCUGGUGUAGCGGUGAAAUGCGUAGAUAUCAGGAGGAAUACCGGUGGCGAAAGCGACUCUCUGGACGGCAACUGACGCUGAGGCACGAAAGCGUGGGGAGCAAACAGG